rnacentral:rRNA from 1 species
AUUGAACGCUGGCGGCAUGCCUUACACAUGCAAGUCGAACGGUAACAGGUCUUCGGAUGCUGACGAGUGGCGAACGGGUGAGUAAUACAUCGGAACGUGCCUAGUAGUGGGGGAUAACUACUCGAAAGAGUGGCUAAUACCGCAUGAGAUCUACGGAUGAAAGCAGGGGAUCGCAAGACCUUGUGCUACUAGAGCGGCCGAUGGCAGAUUAGGUAGUUGGUGGGAUAAAAGCUUACCAAGCCGACGAUCUGUAGCUGGUCUGAGAGGACGAUCAGCCAGACGGGGACUGAGACACGGCCCAGACUCCUACGGGAGGCAGCAGUGGGGAAUUUUGGACAAUGGGCGCAAGCCCGAUCCAGCAAUGCCGCGUGCAGGAUGAAGGCCUUCGGGUUGUAAACUGCUUUUGUACGGAACGAAAAGCCCUGGGUUAAUACCCUGGGGUCAUGACGGUACCGUAAGAAUAAGCACCGGCUAACUACGUGCCAGCCGCCGCCGUAAUAC